AUACUGAUUCACAUUUGUCACUCAGAAACUUCAUUUAUGAUCUCAGGUCAAGGAUUAUGAUGCUGCUCUGGAUUUGGAAUUGGACUCAAUGGAUAAGUUUGUGCUUCAGUGCCUUGCCUUCUACCAGGUUGGGGCAAUUGCUUUUGUUGCUUUAACAGGACUGCUAGUAUUGGAGCAGUUGCAGGUUGCUGCUUUGACAACUAUUGACAUGGUGAUAGCUUCUUGGCCUAUAACAUUUCACACUAUGGGAAACUGAGCAAUGGGCUAGACAUCUUGUUUUGAAAAGAAUAGCACAAUAUAUAUCUAGUUGACAUCUUUCUCUAUCCACAAAAGAUAUUGUAGUUGUUGUAAACAUCUUUCUCUGCCUUUAGACUUA